GGUGGGAAAACAUGUAAGAAUGGAGGCUCCCCCCUCCCUUGCAGGUGCCGCUCAAGAACCACUCUCUCCAAGAUGUUUUCCUGGAUUUCCUCAGCCUAAAAUAAUCCCUCUUUUUCCUGGGAGUGUUGGGCAGUGCUCAGAAGAGGUUUUUGGGGUCAGAGAUGUAAGGACUUCUUUGACUGGCUUCUCCCAACAGAAACAGAUUCCAGCUGCGGAGCAAGGGCCAUGCCAUCUGGAACAGAUGACCUCCAAGGACACCAUAGCAAAGAAAAGGAGAACUGGAAGCCCAUGUGCCUUAAUCCCCUCAUCCCAGAGGCCUCCCUGUUCCCUGAAAUACAACAAUAUUGAUAUUAAGCCAAUUAAUAACCCCACAGUUAUUUCUAAGUGUUUAAGUGAAAGGAAAAGUCACACAUAUCUCUCACCUUAAAUCGAAAGCUAGAAAUGACUAAGCUAAGUGAGGGCA
rnacentral:lncRNA from 13 species